AGAGCAGCGGCCGGGUUUUGCUCCCGCCUCGGAGCCCCUGGCCCGGGGGAGGGGGAGAGGCCGCUAGCCUGGUUUAUGUCUUUUUCUGACUCCAGUGCAACCUUCCUGCUGAACGAGAGCCAUCUCCCAGGAGAAGAGCACCUUGAGGGUCUUACUCUUUGACACCUCUCCAGGCCCCUGAAAGAAGGAAUUGAAGAGAAAGGAUGAAAGAGGGGGAUACAAGGAAUACUGCGUAACUGGGUGAGGGCACAAAAGUGGGCAGUGUCUGGGAACUUCCAAUACAGAAGAAUCCAGUAUAUGACCAAACCCCAGUUGGUGCUGGACUCAGGAGAGGAGACAGUCCCUUCAGCCACAGGGGCUGCAACAAAGUUGUUUGUCAAACCCAGCAUGAGGAAGGUGCUGGGCAGGGCUGCUCUGGGCCACCCACAGUAGACAGACUAAAGAUGUCAGUCUGAAGAUGCAGCUCUUCUUUGUCUUGCCAAGAUAACACCGAUAAGUGACCCAGGUGGGAAGCCACUUGGUUUGGGUGGGCUUUCUCUCUCCCAUGCACAGUGCUU
rnacentral:sRNA from 1 species